AGAACGAACGCUGGCGGCAUGCCUAAUACAUGCAAGUCGAACGAACACUCUGACUUCGGUUGGGGUGUUAGUGGCGCACGGGUGCGUAACGCGUGGGAAUCUGCCCUUGGGUUCGGAAUAACAGUUGGAAACGACUGCUAAUACCGGAUGAUAUCGAAAGAUCAAAGAUUUAUCGCCCAGGGAUGAGCCCGCGUAGGAUUAGCUAGUUGGUGGGGUAAAGGCUCACCAAGGCGACGAUCCUUAGCUGGUCUGAGAGGAUGAUCAGCCACACGUGGACUGAGACGACGGCCCAGACCUCCGUACGGGAGCAGCAGUAGGAAUAGUUGGACAAGUGGGCGCGAAGUCCUAGA
rnacentral:rRNA from 1 species